rnacentral:tRNA from 1 species
GCUUCUAUAGUAAAAUUAUUACGCUUGCCUUCCAAGCAAGAGUUUCGGCGUGAUCCGAUAGCGGCA